UCAAACUUGGUCAUUUAGAGGAAGUAAAAGUCGUAACAAGGUCUCCGUUGGUGAACCAGCGGAGGGAUCAUUAAAGAGUUCUAUAACUCCCAAACCCAUGUGAACAUACCUUACGUUGCCUCGGCAGGUCGCGCUUACCUCGUAGCGCCCUACCCUGUAGGGCCUACCCGGGAGACGCGGGUAAGCCUGCCGGUGGCCCACGAAACUCUGUUUAGUAUUGAAUUCUGAACAUAUAACUAAAUAAGUUAAAACUUUCAACAACGGAUCUCUUGGCUCUCGCAUCGAUGAAGAACGCAGC
rnacentral:misc_RNA from 1 species